rnacentral:rRNA from 1 species
UACGGAGGGUGCAAGCGUUAUCCGGAUUUAUUGGGUUUAAAGGGUGCGUAGGCGGUUAUUUAAGUCAGUGGUGAAAGUUUUCGGCUCAACCGGAAAAUUGCCAUUGAUACUGGGUAGCUAGAAUAUGGUUGCUGUGAGUAGAAUGUGUGGUGUAGCGGUGAAAUGCAUAGAUAUCACACAGAAUACCGAUUGCGAAGGCAUCUCACAAAGCCAUCAUUGACGCUGAGGCACGAAAGUAUGGGGAUCAAACAGGAUUAGA